CGGAGCUUGCUCCACCGGAAAAAGAAGAGUGGCGAACGGGUGAGUAACACGUGGGUAACCUGCCCAUCAGAAGGGGAUAACACUUGGAAACAGGUGCUAAUACCGUAUAACAAUCAAAACCGCAUGGUUUUGAUUUGAAAGGCGCUUUCGGGUGUCGCUGAUGGAUGGACCCGCGGUGCAUUAGCUAGUUGGUGAGGUAACGGCUCACCAAGGCCACGAUGCAUAGCCGACCUGAGAGGGUGAUCGGCCACAUUGGGACUGAGACACGGCCCAAACUCCUACGGGAGGCAGCAGUAGGGAAUCUUCGGCAAUGGACGAAAGUCUGACCGAGCAACGCCGCGUGAGUGAAGAAGGUUUUCGGAUCGUAAAACUCUGUUGUUAGAGAAGAACAAGGAUGAGAGUAACUGUUCAUCCCUUGACGGUAUCUAACCAGAAAGCCACGGCUAACUACGUGCCAGCAGCCGCGGUAAUACGUAGGUGGCAAGCGUUGUCCGGAUUUAUUGGGCGUAAAGCGAGCGCAGGCGGUUUCUUAAGUCUGAUGUGAAAGCCCCCGGCUCAACCGGGGAGGGUCAUUGGAAACUGGGAGACUUGAGUGCAGAAGAGGAGAGUGGAAUUCCAUGUGUAGCGGUGAAAUGCGUAGAUAUAUGGAGGAACACCAGUGGCGAA
rnacentral:rRNA from 1 species